rnacentral:lncRNA from 1 species
GAUGAAAAGUCCCAUAGGCAAUGAAGUAACAUAAACACUAAACAUAUAUGCACCAAAUGGUAUAGCCUCCAAAUUUUUUUUUUAAAACCCUUACCUUCCAUCUUAGAAUCAAUACUGUGUAUUGGUUCUAAGGCAGAAGAGUGGUAAGGGUUAGGCAAUGGGGGUCAAGUGUCUUGGCCAGGGUCACACAUCUAGGAAGUAUCUGAGGUCAGAUUUGAACCCAGGACCUCCCGUCUCUGGGCCUGUCUCUCAAUCCACUGAGCUAUCCAGUUGCCCCCCCCCCCCAAGCCUCCUUUUAAGAAAUAUUAAAUGAUUUAUUUGUCCAUAAUCACAUAAUUAAAGUCUAAAUCCAAGUCUCUUUUGCUUUUAAGUUUAAGUAUUAUUUCUUCAUUUAGGAAAUCAGUUCCUUAGACUAGGGGAUAUGUAAUGCUCCUUUCCCACUUCUAGUGAAUUUUGAUGCCCAGGUCAAGGCACCUGGGUGCUGGUAGUGAGAAAGUAGUGAGUGUAGUGAGAAAGAUUCCUUGAGAAGGCACUUGGAACUUUGGAACACAAGGCUUUGUUGGCAAAGUGUGCAUGUGUAUGAUGACUCUGAAGCAAGUAGAAUCUGAAGAGAUCACAGAGAGGGGAGGGACCACAGCAAGAUAAGGUUCCACUGAAAAAAAAAGAGUUUACCUGGGAGUGUAAAGCUGAUCCUUUGAUAGCUUCCUAUUUUAACCAAUUAUUCAUGCUCAAUGGGUACUAAUUCCAAUUUCUGUCUGGUGAAGAACACAGGAGUGUCAGAGCCUUCUAAAUUUAAAUCCAGUACAUGUUCAAGUUAAGACAUUCCUGAUAUCAUUGGUCUUCUUCAAAAAUAAAGGAUGAACAAGAUUUUGAUAUCCUGGAAUCAAAGCCCUAGUUAUCUUGACCUCAUUUUCACUCUGUCUUGUUAGGAGCUACAGAGGAGCUUGGUAGAAGUCCCCAACAUGGAUUUUACCUUCUACUCUCAUGAUACUUUUUUGCAAAGGGCAUCAUAUACUCCAUGUGUCCAAGGCUUGUUCAGGUUCCUUGAAGUUGGGAGCUCUCUCCUCAGAGUGUAUUCCAUAGCAAUCAGAGUGAUUAUAAAAAGAGCCAUACUAACUCUUAACUUGGGGAUGGAAAGAAAGGAUUGUAAACCAGAAGUGGAAUGGAGCAAGCUGGACUUUUAUUUAUGCGUUGAAGUCCUGGCUUCACUAGACAGUUCUUAUGAGGAAAGAUAUUAUAUGAAGAGUGGAGACAUCCUGGGCAUCUUGAAGAUGCCUGAAAGGUCAGAUCUUUGUUUCAGGGAAAAAGGACUCCAACAGUUCCAAAUUAUACCUCUAGAAUACUUCAUACUUUUGUGA